GAUGAACGCUGGCGGCGUGCCUAAUACAUGCCAGUCGAGCGAACAGACGAGGAGCUUGCUCCUCUGACGUUAGCGGCGGACGGGUGAGUAACACGUGGAUAACCUACCUAUAAGACUGGGAUAACUUCGGGAAACCGGAGCUAAUACCGGAUAAUAUAUUGAACCGCAUGGUUCAAUAGUGAAAGACGGUUUUGCUGUCACUUAUAGAUGGAUCCGCGCCGCAUUAGCUAGUUGGUAAGGUAACGGCUUACCAAGGCGACGAUGCUUAGCCGACCUGAGAGGGUGAUCGGCCACACUGGAACUGAGACACGGUCCAGACUCCUACGGGAGGCAGCAGUAGGGAAUCUUCCGCAAUGGGCGAAAGCCUGACGGAGCAACGCCGCGUGAGUGAUGAAGGUCUUCGGAUCGUAAAACUCUGUUAUUAGGGAAGAACAAAUGUGUAAGUAACUAUGCACGUCUUGACGGUACCUAAUCAGAAAGCCACGGCUAACUACGUG
rnacentral:rRNA from 1 species